rnacentral:lncRNA from 1 species
GGGACCUUCAGCCUGCGUGAGGCCUGAAGAGGAUGUUCCUGCCACAGAAGGCAUCCAAGUCUUAUGGCAGGCACCGCUGUCACGCUCAGACUUCUCAGACUUGGUCUCAGGCUCAGCUGCUGUCUCUAUGGGGCGGCUGUGGACUCUUCAGGAAUCAGCGACCUUCAUGGAUGUGGUUGUGGACUUCACCCAGGAAGAAUAGGCCUUGGUGGGCGCAUCCCAGCGAAAGCUAUACAGAGAUGUGAUGCUGGAGAACAUCAGUCAUCUUCUCUCUGUUGUUGAGUCUGUCAACAAGGACUUAUUUACUCAAGUAUCCAGGGAAGUUUCCACAUAUCAUGCUCCCCUCUCAGCUCUCAUUUUUAUUCUUUCAUAACACAACUACGAGAAGUUGUGGCAUGUGGGAUGCCGCCUCAAUGUGGCUGGAUGAGCAGCGCCAUGUCUGCACCCAGGAUCCGAACUGAUGAAACACUGGGCCGCCUGCAGUAGAGCACGCUAACUUAACCACUCUGCCACAGGGCUGGCCCCUUGCUUGACUUUUGAUAGGUAAGAAGGAGAU